rnacentral:misc_RNA from 1 species
GUAGGUGAACCUGCGGAUGGAUCAUUAACAAUAGUUUUACUAUUAAACACCUGUGAACUGUAUGGGACUCAUCCUCCCACUUUAUUAUACUUAAACUGAAACGAUUAUAUAACAAUCAUAAAACUUUUAGCAACGGAUCUCUAGGCUCUC